rnacentral:lncRNA from 1 species
GGCGGAGGUUGCACUCAGGACCGAGUGCAAGUAACAUAGAAUCAGCAUGACUCUUCAGAGGCUCUUCAGGUUCUCCUCUGUCAUUCUGUCAGCAGUCUCAGUCCAUUUGUGGAGGAACAUCAGUGUUACAGCAGUGGCAUUUAAUAAGGAACUUGAUCCUAUACAGAAACUCUUGUGGACAAGAUUAGAGAAUACAAAUCGAAGUGACAGACAUCUGGAGGACCUGUUGAUACUGGUCCAGAGUAUCAGCAAGAGCUUGAGAGGGAGCUUUUUAAGUUCAAGCAAAUGUUUGGUAAAACAGACAUGAAUACAUUUCCCAACUUCAAAUUUGAAGAUCCCAAAUCUGAAGUCAUCGAAAAACCCCAGGUCUGAAGAAAUAAAGUGAAAUUAAUCUGGUAAUUUAUCAUGGGUCAAUUGUACAACUAGUUAGAAGUUUCAGAAUAAACAUACAUUUCA